rnacentral:rRNA from 1 species
UACGUAGGGUCCGAGCGUUGAUCGGAAUUACUGGGCGUAAAGCGUGCGCAGGCGGUUUUGUAAGCCAGAUGUGAAAUCCCCGGGCUUAACCUGGGAAUGGCAUUUGGGACUGCAAGGCUGGAGUACGGCAGAGGGAGGUGGAAUUCCAGGUGUAGCAGUGAAAUGCGUAGAGAUCUGGAGGAACACCGAUGGCGAAGGCAGCCUCCUGGGCUAGUACUGACGCUCAUGCACGAAAGCGUGGGGAGCAAACAGG